CUCCCGUCCUACAAAUAUUUCCUCUGGGAGAAACAGGAUUUCCGGAGAACGCAACGAUCAGUUCACAAGUCAACUCGCAUUCAAACUUCAGCAGGCUCCGUUGGGUGAAGGGAGAGAGAUCGGAGAUAUGGGAGGGUGCUUAUCCGGCGACGUGCGCGGCGGCAUGGAGGCCGUCGGCGGCGCAGGCGCCAGCGGGGGCCGCGGGCCGGCGACGGCGGGCCAGGGCCAGGGCGGGCUGAACGAGGCGGUGGACUACCUCCUCCAGAACAACGGUCUCCGCGGCCUCUACAUGCCUCUCGAGCUAUCUUUUUCGGCAUCCAAGUUGAGGAAUAUGGAUGUUCUUUCUAAGAGUGAUCCUAUGCUAGUGGUUUACGCAAAGAUAGAUGGGAAGUUAGAAGAGAUUGGCCGCACUGAAGUGAUAUUGAAUUCACUGGAACCCUCAUGGAUCACAAAAGCUACAGUUAAUUACCAAUUUGAGAUUGUGCAACCUCUUGUAUUCAGGAUAUAUGACAUUGACACAAGGUACCAUAAUACACCAGUGAAGAUGUUGAACUUGAAUGAGCAAGAUUAUCUAGGGGAAGCAAGCUGCAAUUUAUCUGAGAUUGUCACGAAGUCCAACCAUAGCCUGACGUUGAACCUCCGAAGUGGUUCUCAACAUGCCCUUCUGGGCACAAUAACAGUACAUUCUGAGGAAAGUUCUUCCUCAAGGACUGCAAUCGAGAUGACAUUCCACUGCCUGAACCUGGAUAACAAGGACAUGUUCUCCAAAAGUGAUCCCUUUUUGAAAGUAUCGAGACUGACAGAAAGUUCUGUUGCCGUUCCUAUAUGUAAAACAGAAGUGGUCAUUAACAAUUUAAACCCUGUAUGGAGGCCCAUAACACUGACAUCACAACAAUACGGUAGCAAGGAUAACCCACUGCUAGUUGAGUGUUUUGAUUUCGAUGCCAGUGGAGACCAUCAAUUUAUUGGGGCCCUCCAGACAACUAUCACUCAGCUUCAAAAUAUCCAUAAUUCUAAGGCUGGAGCAAACUUUUACAGCCAUAAGGGACAAAAGAAGUUGAAAGGGCAGUUGUUCUUGGAUAAGUUCCAGGAAAAAGUUCAACAUACUUUCUUGGACUAUAUUUCUGGCGGUUUUGAGCUCAAUUUUAUGGUGGCUGUAGAUUUUACUGCUUCAAAUGGUGACCCUCGCACACCACAGUCAUUGCACUACAUUGACCCCUCUGGCAGACCAAACUCAUACCAGCAGGCAAUACUAGGGGUUAGCGAAGUUCUGCAGUUUUAUGACAAUGAUAGGCGAUUCCCUGCAUGGGGUUUUGGAGCAAAGAUACCGCAAGGACAUGUAUCCCACUGUUUUAAUUUGAAUUCAACUACCAAUGACUGUGAGGUUGUUGGAGUUGAAGGCAUCAUGUCAGCGUACUCCUCUACUCUUUACAGUGUUUCCCUCGCUGGGCCGACCUUGUUUGGACCCGUGAUCAACAAAGCUGCAGAAAUUGCUAGCCAUUCUGUGCAAUAUGGAAACAACAAAUAUUUUGUCUUGCUCAUUAUCACAGAUGGUGUUAUCACUGAUGUGCAAGAAACAAAAGAUUCUAUCGUAAGGGCAUCAGAUUUACCAUUAUCAAUUCUCAUUGUGGGAGUAGGAAAUGCUGAUUUCUCUCAAAUGACGAUCCUAGAUGCAGACUUUGGCAAGCGGCUGGAAAGCUCAACCGGCAGGGUCGCGACACGUGACAUUGUCCAGUUUGUCCCCAUGAGAGAAGUUCGAGGUGGUAAUGUCUCGGUUGCCCAGUCUCUGCUGGAAGAGCUGCCGGGGCAGUUCCUGGAGUACAUGCGCACCCGGGACAUCAAACCGCGACCUCCCCAGCACGCAGCCUCUGUGCCCGCAUACCCCCCUCCUCCUCCUCCCUAGCUGUGGAAAAGUCGAAGAAACUCCGCCGCUGCUCCUCAUCAUCAUGAGCUGGUCUGCGAGUACCAGCUAGCAAGUAUUGAGUACGUCGCUGUAAAUUAACACUACUGGAUCAGAUAAUUCGUUUUGCAACUCAAGUUCUUGGCUGAGAUGAUUCGUUGUGCAACUCAAGUUCUUGCAUGUUGGGUUACAGGAGAAAAUGGAAGAAGGCUCAUCAAUCAAAGAUACAAAGAAAAGAAAACGAGUUGAUGGUGGACAUGAGCCGUCUGAUCCGAGGAUCCAACGGCCCCUGACAGUAACGUUUAAAAUGACGUAAUAAUAUGAUAAUACAACUGCCAUAAAGGUGGUCGCUUUAUAAAAAACAUAUUGUUGGAUUCCAGGAGGAAUAAAUGAAUCGAAGCAGUGGGUGAUGCAGAAAAAAAAA